rnacentral:rRNA from 1 species
UACGGGGGAGCAAGCGUUGUUCGGAUUUACUGGGCGUAAAGGGCGCGUAGGCGGCCACCGCAAGUCGACUGUGAAAUCUCCGGGCUUAACCCGGAAAGGUCAGCCGAUACUGCGGGGCUAGAGUGCAGAAGGGGCAACUGGAAUUCUCGGUGUAGCGGUGAAAUGCGUAGAUAUCGAGAGGAACACCUGCGGCGAAGGCGGGUUGCUGGGCUGACACUGACGCUGAUGCGCGAAAGCGUGGGGAGCAAACAGG